rnacentral:rRNA from 1 species
GAUUAACGCUGGCGGCGUGCCUAAGGUAUGCAAGUCGAACGAGAUUUGACUCUGCUUGCAGAGUUAAUGACAGUGGCAAACUGCUGAGUAACGCGUAGGAAUCUACCCUUAAGAUGAGGAUAGUUCACCGAAAGGUGGGGUAAUACUCAAUAUGGUCUCCGGACUAAAGCUUUUGCGCUUAAGGAUGAGCCUGCGUUCUAUCAGAUUGUUGGUGGGGUAAUAGCCUACCAAGUCUAUGACGGAUAGCUGGUCUGAGAGGAUGAUCAGCCAGACUGGGACUGCGACACGGCCCAGACUCCUACGGGAGGCAGCAACUAGGAAUCAUGCGCAAUGGACGAAAGUCUGACGCUGCAACGCCGCGUGAUGGAUGAAGGUCUUAGGAUUGUAAACAUCUUUUUUGGAGGAGCAAGUUCUGAGAGUACUCCAAGAAUAAGUGCCUGCUAACCACG